GAUGAACGCUAGCGGGAGGCCUAACACAUGCAAGCCGAGUGGUAUUUGUUCUUCGGAACAGAGAGAGCGGCGCACGGGUGCGGAACACGUGUGCAACCUGCCUUUAUCUGGGGGAUAGCCUUUCGAAAGGAAGAUUAAUACCCCAUAAUAUAUUGAGUGGCAUCAUUUGAUAUUGAAAACUCCGGUGGAUAGAGAUGGGCACGCGCAAGAUUAGAUAGUUGGUGAGGUAACGGCUCACCAAGUCAAUGAUCUUUAGGGGGCCUGAGAGGGUGAUCCCCCACACUGGUACUGAGACACGGACCAGACUCCUACGGGAGGCAGCAGUGAGGAAUAUUGGACAAUGGGUUAGCGCCUGAUCCAGCCAUCCCGCGUGAAGGACGACGGCCCUAUGGGUUGUAAACUUCUUUUGUAUAGGGAUAAACCUACUCUCGUGAGAGUAGCUGAAGGUACUAUACGAAUAAGCACCGGCUAACUCCGU
rnacentral:rRNA from 1 species